AGUGAACGCUGGCGGUAGGCCUAACACAUGCAAGUCGAACGGCAGCACAGUAAGAGCUUGCUCUUACGGGUGGCGAGUGGCGGACGGGUGAGGCAUACAUCGGAAUCUACUUUUUCGUGGGGGAUAACGUAGGGAAACUUACGCUACUACCGCGUACGACCUACGGGUUAAAGCAGGGGAUCUUCGGACUUUGCGCGAUUGAAUGAGCCGAUGCCGGAUUAGCUAGUUGGCGGGGUAAAGGCCCACCAAGGCGACGAUCCGUAGCUGGUCUGAGAGGAUGAUCAGCCAAACUGGAACUGAGACACGGUCCAGACUCCUACGGGAGGCAGCAGUGGGGAAUAUUGGACAAUGGGCGCAAGCCUGAUCCAGCCAUACCGCGUGGGUGAAGAAGGCUUUCGGGUUGUAAAGCCCUUUUGUUGGGAAAGAAAAGCAGCAGGUUAAUACCCCGCUGUUCUGACGGUACCCAAAGAAUAAGCACCGGCUAACUUCGUG
rnacentral:rRNA from 1 species